GGCGUGUUUGUGUUUAACAUAGGUUUUAACCCUGACAUUCAGGAGGAAAAGAGGAUUCUAUCCAAAGACCCUGAGGAGAUGGAGCUGCUUCUCUGGAAGCCUGGGUGAGGAGCUUCCAAGAGAGUGGCCCUUCCCGUUAAUACAUCAACACUGAAGCAGUGAUGGUUUCUUUCCUGCAUUGAAGGUGUAUGAAUGGAUGUUCCCUGUUUGCUGUUGUAAUGGCUGGGGGUAAUGAAACUCUUGUGCUGUACACACCUCCCCUCUGACCCAAGAUGAACCCAAAUUAGGAGCUGUGAAGGCCAGGCAAGUCCCAUACACACAUUGCUCACACCACGCUGGCUUGGGUUGGUG